CUACGGGGGGCAGCAGUGAGGAAUUUUGCGCAAUGGGGGAAACCCUGACGCAGCAACGCCGCGUGAGUGAUGAAGGCCUUCGGGUCGUAAAGCUCUGUCAAGUGGGAAGAACCUGAUCCAUACUAAUAUCGUGGAUCACUGACGGUACCACUGAAGGAAGCACCGGCUAACUCCGUGCCAGCAGCCGCGGUAAUACGGAGGGUGCAAGCGUUAUUCGGAAUCACUGGGCGGAAAGGGCGCGCAGGCGGUUUGGUAAGUCAGAUGUGAAAGCCCGGGGCUCAACCCCGGAAGUGCAUUUGAUACUGCCAAACUUGAGUAUGGGAGAGGGAAGUGGAAUUCCUGGUGUAGAGGUGAAAUUCGUAGAUAUCAGGAGGAACACCGGUGGCGAAGGCGACUUCCUGGACCAAUACUGACGCUGAGGCGCGAAGGCGUGGGGAGCAAACAGGAUUAGAUACCCUAGUAGUC
rnacentral:rRNA from 1 species